AUUUGAUACACGCAUUGGAAUCAAUAACAGGAGUAAAAGAUUUGAUUAUUGAAGAUAAAUUAAUGAAACCAUUAGAUUUAAUUUCAUCAAUAAACGUUUUGAAGAAUCACGGAGUUGGCAAAAUAUAUCGUUUAAAGGCCUCGAUAAUCAAUUUAAAUUCUGAUUCAUGUGUAUUUGUGGUUAAGCCCUCAAAUUAUGGAAAUAAUUUAGUAAUUAAACACUUAAAAAAUAUUUCAAAGGAUCACCAAUAUAAAAAAUUCUCCAUUAUUUAUAUCCCUGGAAUAGAUUAUACAAGUGAGUUAUACAUGGAAAAUGAAGGAAUAUGGGAGCUAUUUUCACACAUUUUACAAUUCCCC